ACUUGCAUACAUAAAUGGACGCAAACACUCAUAAAAUUACAGGAACUGACAUUCAUUACCUAUGUUUUUAGGAUAAAAACACUUUGUACAGCAACUGACAUUCUAAAACGAGAGAGAGAGAGAGAGAGUUGUAAACACACCAACGAUCGACUACAACAAACCCUAUUAUUCUAGCGAAGCAAACUUAGCGGAACUUCUGUUACUCUAAAAGGCUCGGGGUAGAAUGGAGCAGUCGCGAGAACAAGGAAAUGAUCAGCUCGAUCAUCAUUGUUAUCGCAAGUCACAACUCUCCCUCAAAUCAGUGGCGGACCUAGAAAUUAUUUGCUGGGGGUGCGAAUGAGUGGUUCAAGCAUAUUUUCAGGGGGUGCGAUCGGGUUUUUUUGCCAAAAAUAUAUACUAAUUUUUUUCAAGGGGUGCGUCCGCCCACCCUGGACUUCACCUAGGUCCGCCCCUGCCUCAAAUCUCGAUAGUCAACCUUUUCGAGAAAAUGGUUCCUCAUUUAUGUAUUCACUAUUUUUUGUGUCGUGGAUCUCCAUAACCACUUUGCUAAAGAUGAUGAAGAUUAGGCUCCAAUGACCUUGUUUGCUUAAUUAUUAAUUAGGGUAAAUUACACAUUUCGUCCUUUAUGUUUGUACUGGAUUGCAACGGACAGGGCCGGCCCUGAAGGAGGGCGGGGAGGACAACCGGCCAGGGCCCGUGAUUUCGUAGGGCACGUAAUUUAAAAAAAAAACCGAUAUUAUAUAUGUAAAAAAAAUUAAUAGGGUAUAGCCAAACAAAUAUUAACAUAGGCCCACUUAAAAAAGUCAUAUUGUUUAAACUAUUUAGCCCAUUAGGUUAGUGAGCCCAAUACCCAAAUAAUUCUAAAAACUAAAAAAAAAAAUCCAUUGUUGGGCGGCAACUUAUUUCCUCCGUGGGUAUUGAAACGUCACUGGAUAGGAGUCGGAGAGAUCAGAGGAGCAGGCCUUCGAUUUUACAGACAGUGAUCAUCAUUCUGCUGCAGUUUUAAGUUUUUGUUCGAUUUAGUUCACACUCAUAGCAACAGCAGGCCUUCGAUUUCACAGUCACAACCUUCAAUCACGGAUCAGUUCACAGUUCACAGGUAAACAUCAAUUGUCGAAUUCAGUUAACUUAUGAUUUAGGAUUCACAGUGAACUUAUGAUUUACGAUUUCAGUUAUUAUGUUGAAUUCAGUUAACUUAUGUCGAUUUCAGUUAACUUAUGUCGAAUUCAAUUAACUUAUGUUGUCGAUCAUUAUUUAGGCGUUAACUUAAUUUGAUACAAACUUUGUCGAUUAUUUAGGCGUUAAUGGCUCCUAAACUUUGUUGAUUAUUUAGGCGUUAAAUACAAACUUUUUUAUUUAGUUAAGACCUAAGGGCACGUUUUUUCGAGCUCGAACAGGGUACAGGAAUUCUCAGGGCCGGCCCUGGCAACGGAUAACCUUUAACUUCAAUAAUUACAGUUACAAUCCUUUAUUUGCAAAACUCGUUACACUAUACGUCCUUUACCAAUAACUAGGUUAAAUUUUUCAGUUAAAUAUGACACGUGACAUGCAUAUGGGGGUAGGUUAGUAAUUUUACUUGUAUAUUUAAAACAUUUCUUUUUUCUCCUUUUAUUUGCACACCACACCCAAAGCUUAUCCCCUGUUUGCUACUCUGCCCAAAUUCCAAAUUCCUCAACCAAUUACCCCCAACGACACAAGAUCCAUGGAACAACAAGAACAGAUAUGUAUGAUCGACUAUUUCCUGUCAAGGUUCCCGACGAGCUCUGACGAACUGAAUCCAAUAAGUGAACAAACACCGUCGGAGCUCGAUUUAAAAUCAACAAUGGCACCUGUUUCAAUAUGAGAUCUAUCUGGUGAUGAUGAUCUAACGUCAUCAGAUCUAAAUAUUUAGGAUGUAGCAGCCAGAAUCGCCGAUGCACACAAGGUUAGGGUUCGUUACUUCGUUUUCAGGCGAAGUGGUCCGAUUAGGGUUGUGGCGGUCGGAAUCGAUGACGUAAUUGGAGUAAUAUUGGGGAUUUCAGACUGGGAUAGUUUGGUUGUGUUUGCUGUAUGUCUCUCUUAGUUAGGGGUGUUCAUCGGGUUUUUUCUUUGGGUUUCGGGUUUUUCGGGUCGGGUUUUUCGGGUUUUUCUCUGGAAAAAAUUGACCCGAUAACCAACCCAUUUAAAGUUCGGGUUAGUUGGGUUUGGGUUAUUCGGGUUCGGGUUAGUUCGGGUCGGGUUAUUCGGUUUUUGGGUUUAGAUGUAAAAUGAAAAUAAAUGUUUUUUUUUUUACAAAAUAUCAUCAAAAUUCAUAUUUCAUAUUGUUACUUUAUAAAUAUCAUCAAAGUUCAAAGAUUAAUUGACAAUAUGCUAUUAUCAUAUUUAAAAAACCCAAAACUUAGUGUUCCAUCUAUUAAAGACUCAAAAUCUAAACACUUUUAUAAGAAAAAAAACAAUAAAUGUUCGCGUUUUUUUUCGGGUUUCGUGUUUCGGGUUUUUCGGGUCGGGUUGUUUGGGUUUUUGGCCUGGAAAAAGUGACCCGAUAACCGAACCAUUUAAAGUUCGGGUUGGUCGGAUUCGGGUUUCUCGGGUUCGGGUUUUUCGGGUAUUCGCUAAUUCGAGUUCGGGUGACUUUGAAUUCGGGUCAGGUUUCGGGUUUUGGAUAAAAAUGAACAGCCCUACUCUUAGUAUCUUGCUAAGAUGUUUGUUUUGAUGGAAUGAAAUUGUUUUAGCUAGCAAAAAAGAAUCAUGCUGUCAUGUUCCUCUUUUUAUUGAAUCGAUCUUCUAAAAAAUAGUCAGGUUCCUCUUUUGUUUUCUAAGAUUCAUGGUGGGGAUGAGUUGCAGGUUGUUAACUGUUUAAUGUUUAAUUGUCUUAUUUUGUUAAAAAUAUAUUUUAAAUAAACGAGUAAAAUUACCGAUCUACCCUCGUGUGUAAUGCCUAUGUCAUACUUAACUAAAAAAUUUAACAAGGUUAGAGUCAAAGGACGUAUAGUGUAACGGGUUUUGCAAAUAAAGGAUUCUGACUAUAAUUAUUGAAGUUAAAGGCUAUCCGUUGCAAUCCGAUACAAACAUAAAGGACGAAAAGUGUAAUUUACCCUAUUAAUUAUGAAGGGUUCACCGAUUAAAUCUUGACUCCAUUUUUUCAUUUGAGUUUUAUUCACUGAAAUCUAACUAGACGUGGGAUGAACAUGAAUGUAUGUAGAGAAACUAUUCGAGUUACGGUUCCACUACACUAUAAUAAAAAACUACAAUAUAGAGUAAAUAUUCAAUUCUUUCCUUAUCUUCGUCAAUUUCAGGUAUAAUGUCAUUAUGGUUAUUAUUUUACCCUGAUCAAAUUUUGUUAUGUAUUAAAAAGUCGUUAUCAACAUGGAUUUAGAUAUUUGGUAUGUUUUGGUUGUCAAUGGGCCAUGCGUGUUUUGAUUGCUGGUAGAACUUGCAUUAGGGUUCUUCCUACUUGGUUAGUUGGUUAUGCGCAUCUUGAAGUGUGCAUUGUAUGUGGUUUUAAGUGUAGUCACAUUAUCUACUGUGCUCCUUAAUUAGCGUUGAGAUAUUACCGAUCAGGUGAAAGAUAUCCAUCCCCGUCGAGGACCGGCGACGCCGAAACACCAUCCCGCACCCCCAACCCCCCUCCCCGUCCUCUCAGUCGUGGUCUUGACAUUGGAGACGAUCCUCCAAUGGUGGCCCCCCUUCAAAAGUUACCGUUAAAUAAAAAAAAUAAUUUUACCAAAUUUAUUUCAAAAAGCAACGGUCAUAUAUCCCCAAAUGUAUAAAUUUCAACCAUUUUUUCACCACCAUUCACUAUUUUAACCUCUUUUUCUCAUCUCUCUCCCUUUAUUUUUUAUAAAACAUCUUCCACUUUUAUAAACUUAUAUUCUACCAUGGAUCCCUUCAACAACCCGAACGUCCCCAACAACCCGAACAAUCCGAACAACCCGACCCAACCGAAUGUUUUCUCGGUUCCGGGAUAUUAUCCGACGAUCGAACAGAACCAAUUCUCUCAAUAUUCGUCAAACGCCUUUGCCGCAUUCCAACUCACCGAACCAAUUCUCUCAAUUCUCUCAAAAUAAAGCCCUUCAACAAAUGAUGAUGCGGGGUGCUUUUAAUCUCCAACCGAACCCGAAGCAACCCGUUCAACCCCAACCGAUCCCGACGCAACCCGUUCAACAAUCUGAACCAGACGACGAUGUGGAAGUUGUUCCCGAAACCCAACUGCAAAAAGAAAAAGGCAAACGAAGAAAAGGCACGCAAGUGGUGUGUGAGCAACCAUCCAAACCAAAGGCGAAACCGUGGACGCCAAUCGAAGAAGAAGCCUUAGCUAAGGCUUACAUAGGCACGUCUACACACCCGACAAAAGGUAAUAAUCAAACGGGUGACGGGUAUUGGAAGACGGUUUUGGCGAAGUUCCUUGAGCUAAUGGACCAAGGCCCGUAACGAGAUAUCGACUCGGUGUCAUCAAAGUGGCGAAAAAUGAACGGGUUCGUCAAUAAGUUUUGCCAAGAAUAUAAUAAAAUAUAUUCAAGUGGGCGUCGUAGCGGCAUGAGCGAUGAGGAUGUGUUUAUAAAGGCGUUGGAGAAGUACAAGGAGAACAAUGGUAAUACCUCGUUCGCACACGUUCGCACGUGGGAAGUUUUGCGAACGCACCAAAAAUGGGCGCCGAUUCCCAACGAGGUGGAGAUGGCGAAGCGGCAAAGGACAUUGGAAUCGGGUAGUUUUAGCGCAGGUGGAUCGAACGCGAGGUGUCACAUAAACUUAAACAAUGACGCCGAGUUCGAUGAAGAAGAAUACGUCGUACAUGAAGCGGAGCGUCCACCAGGCCGGGACAAAUCAAAGAAGGAGUGGGCGAAGGGGAAAGAAAAGGAAAAGGUGGAUCCGAAGAUGGACGAGUUUAUGGAACAAUUUAAAACGUACACGGACGUCUCGGCCCAAAAGGCGAAGGCGAAGAAGCGGGUCAUCGAAGAAAAGACUCGUGUGGCGGAAGAAAAGUUACGCGAAAAGGUUCGAUUUUCCAAUGAAAAAAUCCGAUUGUCCGAUGAAAAGAUUCGGCUCAAGGAAUGAGAAAUAAUAACGAUGGUAUGUCGAUGAUUAUCCCUAGCCGAAACGUUCGAUGUUGAAAAAACUACAAACCGACAUCAUGAAGAAGCAUUAAAUUAUUUAAGUCUAUGUUUUUUUUAAGUU